rnacentral:tRNA from 1 species
GAUGAGGUGGCCGAGUGGUUAAGGCGAUGGAUUGCUAAUCCAUUGGGUUAUGCCCACGUGGGUUCAAAUCCCAUCCUCGUCG